GGGCCUCGAGGGCGUUAGACACCGUCUCCAGAGGGAAGCCUUGGACCUUGGAUCUCCUCCUUUGGGCUUGUUAGAGCAGAAGUUUCGUUAUGAGAAUGAUUUUACUCCCAAACAUUUCUGUAACGAGGCACCUGGUUGCUAUUUGGAGGAUGCUUCUAUGCAAAGAAGAUUGGAUUGGAUUGGAAAUAAUGGAAGAGGGAGUGAUAUCCAAUGUGACUAGAAAGAGAUACAUUGGAUCAAGGUCCAAGAUGGGAACUGCCAGCGGAUUGUGAAUGUCAUAAAGGAAGGCCAGAUUCCCCGUAACGAGAUCACCGCUGUGAUCACUUGGUGCGGCUGGCAUGGCACAGUGCCAUCAGUGUCUUAAAUAAAGCAUCUGACCAAUGAGUUGACUCUUGUCCCAUGUUGUAGAAGAUGCACCAAAGGGAGAGAGAGGUGGUAGGCUUUUCCUCAGAACACCGAGGAUUUUCUGU